UGUUUGUUUCCUCCCAUUACUCCUUCAGCCCUCUUGCCUCCUUUCUUAGCUGCCUCGCCUGUUUCCCAUCACCUUCUUCCUGUCCCCUCAAAAGGAGGAAAACACCAACCAACACACACACACACAAAACUUGCAGAUUUGUGCAAAGUGGGGACAGUGAACAGAAUCUGGAGAGAACAGAAGUCAUGACAUAAAAUUCCUGGGUGCUCGGUGCAGCCCUUACUAAGUCAAGUGUCCAUGUGAAGACAAUAUUGUUCCAGAGUCUAGAGUUCCUGGCUAUUCAAAGUAUGUGACUAUUCCUUGAUACUAUGAGGCCUCUCUCCAUUCUUGCUCAGAGGGAAAGAAAUCAUACUGGGGUCCUUGGAAAUGUUCCACAUUAUCCUUAACUGAUGGGAUACUACAGAGGUGAUGCAAAUGAUGCAAUCCAAAGAUGCAAAUCCAUCUGCAUAUCCUAAAGAACAUCACAUUGCUACCAUAUAUCAAUGGUGCCAUAUUGAUGUGGCAGGCUAAGCAAGAGGUGCUUAAUAUGCUGGAGACCUUGGUGAAAUACACACACUCUAGAGGAUGAGAGGAUACCAGUCGUACUGGAUUAGAACCCACCCUAAUGACUUCAUCAUAACUGAAUUACAUCUGCAAAGACCUUUUUCCAAAUAAGGUGAUAGGCACAGGUCCAGCAGGUGUAUUCAAUAUAAGACCAGAUUGCCUUCAGUGAUGUUGUCCCAAUGAAUCAUCCAUCUGGGUUAUCUUUAUAUUCUUAAAAUUGAAAUGAUGAAUACCUGAUUUAAAAAUUUUACAGAUGGUUUCUUCUUUUGGUUGGCCUUACUUUAAAAGGAUUUGCUGGGUUUAGUGCUGAAAAUCCUAUAUCCUGGGAACACUUCCUGUACAAACCAAGAUGCUUGGUAAGCCUACCAAGAAUCUACAUCUCCAGCAUGGAUUUGUGAUUCUCUAAUUUCAUUUCCAUCUCUACAAGUUUUUCAAUGGAGUAACUCCUGAAUUAUGAUAAUUAAUUAAAAAUCAUGUUAAAAUUUUCAAUAUGUAUCAUUAAAAAAUGUAAAGAUUUACUCUAAUUUUUGAGUUCUGGAUUAUGAGAAACAUGCUACCUUGUUAAGACAGGUAUUAUUAAAAUGUGGAGGGUGAUUAUUUUUCUCCCCCACACCUCUUGGGACAAAUUUAAUUCUGAGUGGUUUGCAGGGUUAGGGUGAGAAUGCCUGAUUGAAGAAAUCUCAAGAAUGUGCUGGUUUUCCUCUGAAUACUGAUCAUUUACUUGGAGAGCUGUGAACCAGUACCCAUGAAUGAUACUUAGGGUAUCUGGGAAACUCUUAAAACUGUAAUAAAAA